CUGGUUCCAAUUGAAGCUAAAAUGAUCCCCGAGCACUGCAAAACCUUGAACACACAAUAAUGAAAUCGUACUUCCUCGCCACCAAUUGGAAUCCAUAGCAGCCUAAGGGUCUCCGAAAUAGAUGAAAUCGAUGGUUGUACCCAAAGAGACGAUUUGCAAAAAUAAAGAAAACAAAAAGAGUGGGGAAAGAGAAGAAAAUUCGGAUAUAGAGACAAAAGAUGGAGAAAAGAAAAGAAAAGAAAAGAAAAGCUGGCAGAGAAUAGAGUUAGACGUCGGUUACAGAGAGGACUUUUGGGGAAACUGAUUCACUCAAUCUCACUGUCCAUGUUAUCUCAACCAC
rnacentral:lncRNA from 1 species